GAGCGUGGUGUCAUCACUCCCAUUUUCCAGGUGGGGAGGCUGAGGCCCUCGCAAGCUGGCGGGGUUGCCCAGAGGCACGCGGCGAGCCAGCGGCACAGGCAGGAGGGCUGCAGGGCUCCGCUGCUCCCUGGGGCCUGGCCCCCCCCCCCCCCGGGGAGCCAGGCCUUGGACCUGCCUCCGACGGGGCCGCGUCCGCCGGGAGUGAUUUCGCAGCAGCGCCUCCGUGAGCACCUGGCGGGAAGGACGCGCAGGGCGGGCCGGGGCAGCCCCGAGCCCGGGAGGAACGACCUCUGGCUGUCCUUCAAGCCUCGACGUCAGUGCCCUCUACGUCCCUGCGGCCCACCCCCACCCACACCCAAUUCUCCAGCUCCCGCCGUUUCCAAGCUCUUUCGGCCACGAUUUUCCAGCCUUCUCAGCGCUGGGUCUGGACCGCCGACCUGGAGGAGCCGAACUCGAUGCGAUUUGCAUAACGUGCCCGAUUGGCUCCUGCGGCCGCGGUGGGCGGGCCCCACCAACACCUGCAGGGGCGGAGCGCAGGACCGGGGCGGGGCCGGAGGGCCACCUGGCCGCCUCCCGGGGCCCGACGCCCGCAGCGGCCGCGGCGUGGACCGCCUACACUCCACGCAGCCGCUUCGCAAAGCGCGGCCUCCCGGAAACGUGCAUCUGCGGGACCUUCGCAAAGCAGAGCGAGAAGACCACAUCUAGUCCUGAUCUCUGGGCUACAUGGACCUCAGGCCAGCCUCCAACCAACCAUCUCCAUCUCCAGGCUAAAACACGGUAAAAGUGAAAACCCUUGUCCAAACAAAAUUCUGCACAUAGAUGUUCACAGCAGCUUUAUCCAUAAUUGCCAAAAGCUGGAAGCAGCCAAGAUGUCUUUUAGCAGGUGAACAGAUACACGGUGGUAUAUCCAGAUAAUUGACUAUUAUUUAGCACCAAAAAAAAAAAAAGUGUUACCAAGCCAUGAAAAGACAUGGAGAAACUUUCGGUGCAUUUUACUAAGUGAAAGAAGCUGAUCUGAAGAGGCUACAUACAUACUGUAUGAUUCCAACUAUGUGACAACUAGAAAAGACAAAACUAUGAAGACUAAAAAAACAUCAGUGGUUGCAGGGGUGGGGACGGAAGAGGAAGGGCUGAAUAGAGCACACAGGAUUUUUAAGGAAAUGGGAAGAUUCUGUAUGAUACUAUAAUGAUGGAAUCAGGUUAUUAUACGUUUGUCCAAACCCCCAGAAUGUGCAGCCCCAAGAGUGAGCGCUAAUGUAAACCAUGGACUCUGGGUGACCAUGAUGUGUCAGUGUAGGUUCAUUCCGUGUUACAAGGGUUCUGGUCUGAGACACCUAGGUGGCUCAGCGGUUGAGCGUCUGCCUUCGACUCAGGUCCUGGGAUCAAGUCCCACGUGGGGCUCCCUGCAUGGAGCUUGCUUCUCCCUCUGCUUGUGUCUCUGCCUCUCUCUCUCUCUCUGUCAUGAAUAAAUAAAUAAAAUCUUAAAAGAAAAAAAAAGGG
rnacentral:lncRNA from 1 species